CCUGGAGCUGCAGGGGUUGGUGCGAGCCAAGGGCAGCACCCAGGACCUGGCCUUGUUGACCCUCAGACCACUGGCCUGGGCCCAUGGAUCCAGCCUGUCCAGAUCCCUCUGCAGAGCCUUCGUGCUCCCAGCAGAUCCACACUCACACCUAGCUGGGUGCUGUCCAUGAAAUGACUGGGCAUGCCCUCGAUCCCCUUGUCCAGAUCAUCAGUAAAGAUAUUAAACAGGACUGGCCCCAGUGCUGAGCCCUGGGGACUCCAUUGGUACCUGGCCACACCUGGAUGUGGCUCCAGUCCCCACCAGUCCCUGGGCCCAUCCAGCCGGUUUUAUACCCAGUGAAGCAGGGCCAUGAGCAGCCGGUGUCCCCAGGAGAAUGUGUGGGAGACAUUGUCAAAGGCUUUCUAAAGUCUGGGGAAACACAUCCACAGCCCUACCUUCAUCCACUGAGGGGGUCGCCCUGUCACAGAAGGAGCUGGGUGGGUCAAGCAAGAGCUGUCUGUCACAGACCCACGUUGUCUGGGGCUGAUUCCCUGGUUGUCCUGCAUGUGAUGACACUUAGCUCUUGGGUAGAUCCAAUCCAGCCCCGCAGACUUUGGGAGACACAUGGCAUAUGAAGUACCGGUAUGUGCUUUUUUAAACAAGAGG